UGAUAGAUGGCGCUGCCCAAGUGCCAAUCCCAUGAGCGAUCUUACCUGUCCUGGACUCCUGUUAGUGCGUCUGAGUCGGAGACCUAGAUUCGAUAAUUCCUAGAGUUCUUCCUUUUCCCGUUGUAUACCAGUGUAACUGUCACAAAAGAGUUGCGUUACGUAUCACGUUGCGAAGUGUAUUUGAAUCUUGUGGUAUUCGCAUAUAAAGAUUUGUGUUGAUAUACAAUACCUUUCGUUUUCAUAACGGCGUGAACCUCUGUCAGUAGGCUAUGACACAAGCUUCCCUCAAUUCUGCUCCAACGGAUACUCUGGAAGGACCACCACCCAGGAAAAGCUAGCUUUCAUCCCAGAUAAACCUAAAGAGAAGAAGUUCUCAGAUCCUGCUGAAUUUGUUCGUAAUGUCAUGGGAUCAAGUGCUGUGCAGGUAGUGGCGAGUUUCAUGUGUACCGUCAUAUAAGAAGGAGAGAAUACGCCCGUCAGGAGUUCCUCCAGGAAUUGAAAGAGAAGAAAGUGAAAAUGAAUUCCUGAUUGACUGGCCUCAUUUUCUAUACUGCUGCCGGUUGGCUGAUAUAAUGACUGGGGAGAACCCCGACAACCACAAAGCUUUCUUGAGAAAAAAGCCCUUGAAGUUAUACACGGCCAAGGUUGCCGAUCUAAUGCCAUUAAGGGACCAUAAAGAAAGAGCGUAAUUACUGGUUAAAGGAGAGGGAAGCUUGUACAGUAUUGUGCCCUUUUGGACCCUUUCCUGAAUACAGAUGUCUUUGCUAGGAGUUUUAGGGCUAAAGGCAAUGUAAAGGUAUCUUUUAAAGAACUUACUUUUUCCCCUAUGUUGAAAAUAUAUAGUUUGAUGUUGAAUGUAUAUAGUUUGAUGUCCUAUUAUAUUUACGUUUUGUAAGUACAUAAACAUUUAUUAAUGUUUAUUAUAGGUUAAGUACUGUUAUUUUUGUUCAGUCUUUCUAAUCAGUAUGGUAUAGUGGUUUGAAUAUAUGACAACAAACCACAACAGUUAUUAUAUAAUUUAUAGUUUUCUAUAUCCGAUUCAGAAAUAAUUACAUGACCAUCUCGACAUAUCAACAUAAAGUUUCCUUUGAUUCGUAGAAAGCCUGAUGUCUUGCAGUUGUAUAUAUUACUGAGAAUGACGUACGUUCUUUUAUCAAGAAAAUGUCAACAAACAUGGUUCCCAGCUUGACUGUAAACUCUAGUCUAGUUAGACCGGUAAUUGCCAUACUCCUCCUUCAGUAAUUACAUUGCUUAUGAAGCAUCUAUUAUACCAAUGUGUGAACCUAAAGCUCUGCUUAGUAUUUAAAUGCUUCUCUGGUGUAACUUAAAUAAAGGGGCCCCUACACUAUCAAUCAAGAGUUCACAAAAUCCUUGAUUGCACGAGCAUUUCCAGUGUGAGUGGGUAUGAUUGGUAGUUUGCGCAAAUGAUUAAGUUCCAACACAGUUUGAGAUUUUCAGCUCGGUCAUGGUGUUGGUACAAUCUUGAGUGAUAAUUAGUGUUAUUAACUGCGCAAGGAGUCUUCCGUCUGUCACCAUGGCGAGUACACCAGGCUCCCAGGAGUUUUGGAGAGAAUUCGUCGAAUUUUAUCAUGGAUUUUCUGCUCUUUGGAGAAUAAAGAACGACGAAUUUAAGAACAAAUUUAAAGUUUCUUCUAAGGCCAGAAUAAUGGCAACACAUGCAGCCUCUUUGCUCAUCCUCACUACUCGGGCUUUAACAGACAACUGAUGAUUGUACAAUCGUGUCUCUAGUGAGUGGACAAAAUACAGAUGAUUGCGCAGUCACCAAUUUAUACAAUCAUGAUUGAUAGUGUAUGGGGCCCAUAAGGCUGGAUUACAUGAAUGAUGUUGAUCUUUGGUAUUAUGUAUA